UUCUGCUUAAGGUAUUUCUGGAAAUUGGAAGACACUUCCCAUGAAAUCUGAAAGUUAUCCCAGCAUCAUCAAGUGGGAAAAUAUGGAUGGAACCCAGAGAAGAUGAUACACAAUAUCAUUCCAGUAUUUUAAAGCAAGUGAAAUAUGGAUAAAAUGAACACCAAGAACAGCAUUGAAUGGCAAAUGAGUUCAGGACAUGUAACAGAGAUACUUUCCAAGAAAUCUCCAGAUUAAACUGGAUCCAGUUUUCUUAACUCAUGAAUGGUUUUUGAGCACACAGUGGAUGGUGGACAUUUAUACUAUGUCUCCUUCUUACAAGCAGGCAACGUCAUACAGAAUCAGCAAGAGCUUCUUGCAGCCUUGAAAGUUUGGCGACUGUGGCCGUUGCUGCUAUA